rnacentral:rRNA from 1 species
CCUACGGGUGGCUGCAGUGAGGAAUAUUGGUCAAUGGACGAGAGUCUGAACCAGCCAAGUCGCGUGAGGGAUGACUGCCCUAUGUGUUGUAAACUUCUUUUGUCUGGGAAUAAAGUGUUGCACGUGUGCCCUUUUGUGUGUACCCUAUGAAUAAGCAUCGGCUAACUCCGUGCCAGCAGCCGCGGUAAUACGGAGGAUCCGAGCGUUAUCCGGAUUUAUUGGGUUUAAAGGGAGCGUAGGUGGAGUGUUAAGUCAGUUGUGAAAGUUGGCGGCUCAACCGUAAAAUUGCAGUUGAAACUGGCAGGCUGGAGUACAGGAGAGGUGGGCGGAAUUCGUGGUGUAGCGGUGAAAUGCUUAGAUAUCACGAAGAACCCCGAUUGCGAAGGCAGCUCACUGGACUGAAACUGACACUGAGGCUCGAAAGUGUGGGUAUCAAACAGGAUUAGAUACCCGAGUAGUC